UCUCUGGAGGGCUAGUGGUUAGGGCACGGCGCUCUCACUGCUGCGUCCUGGGUUCGAGUCCCAGCCAGGGAA